rnacentral:rRNA from 1 species
GACGAACGCUGGCGGCGUGCUUAACACAUGCAAGUCGAACGGAAAGGCCCUGCUUUUGUGGGGUUCUCGAGUGGCGCACGGGUGAGUAACACGUGAGUAACCUUCCCUUGACUGUGGGAUAACUUCAGGAAACUGGGGCUAAUACCUGAGAGGAGCGCCUGCUGCAUGGUGGGGGUUGGAAAGUUUCGGCGGUUGUGGAUGGACUCGGGGCUUAUCAGCUUGUGGGUUGGGUAGUGGCUUACCAAGGCUUUGACGGGUAGCCUGCAUGAGAGGGUGACCGGCCACAUUGGGACUGAGAUACGGCCCAGACUCCUACGGGAGGCAGCAGUGGGGAAUAUUGCACAAUGGGCGGAAGCCUGAUGCAGCAACGCCGCGUGCGGGAUGACGGCCUUCGGGUUGUAAACCGCUUUCGCCUGUGACGAAGCGUGAGUGACGGUAAUGGGUAAAGAAGCACCGGCUAACUACGUG